rnacentral:lncRNA from 1 species
CUAAUACCUCCCAUUGGCCGGCGUGGCAGAGCAGCAGCUCUGGCGCUAGAGGGAACCUGGGCUGCUCUAGCUGGGGGAGAGCCGGGUCUCUGGUUCUAAUCACUUGAAUCUGACUUCUGGGAAAACUGGCGUCCAGGGACUCCCCCCGGAGACCCAUAAUCUUCUUGGGGCGACCUCAGGUUGGGGGACUAAGUCCUGCAGGGGACACUUGUUCAUCCACUACCAGGGACACCCAUCUCUCCCAACUCAAGACUUCUUUUUACUCCCCAAGUUUAAAACUCUGAGGCCACCCCGCCCCCUUCCCUCUCCCUCGCUUAGAAUCAGGACUUCUGUAGACAAGACAGAUACUGUAAAGACAGCAAAGAACAAACAGAAUGGCAGAUUGCUAAUGUUUGAUCCAAACGAAAAAGUGAUGAUUGAAUCAAACGAAGCAAUGUCAGAUAAAUGCCUCUUUGGACGCAGACCAAGAUUGACAAGCAAACUUAAUACCUCACCAACACAGGUCUCUGUAAAUGUAGCUAAAACAUUCUCAGAAAAGAAGGAAGUCCCUUCUAAGAAUAUUGCAAAUAAAGUCUCUUUACAGACUACUGAAAAUAGAGUAUCUUCAAGGAGUAUCGAAAGUAAAGAUAUCUUAACAAAUCUACAGUCUGACCUAUUGUCAUCUUCCUGCUUAAAAGAAAGCACAGGUAAU